CUCAUGACAAUUCAAGGGGCAACGGAUGCCCUCUUCUGCAUCGGCUUCCCCACCACGCUUCGUAAAGCUGCCAGGGCUUGGUACUCCGGCCUCCACUCAGGAUGUAUCCACUCCUUCGGACAGCUCGAGCAUUCUUUCGUGGCCCGUUUCAGUACCAGCCGGAAGCCGCCACGAACCUCAAACAGUCUUUUCUCCCUCA
rnacentral:lncRNA from 1 species